AACGAGCUGCCAAGGCUUCGGUCUGACGGUGAAGUGGUUGAUGCCAUGCUUCCAGGAAAAGCCUCUAAGCUUCAGGUAACAAGGGACCGUACCCCAAACCGACACAGGUGGUCAGGUAGAGAAUACCAAGGCGCUUGAGAGAACUCGGGUGAAGGAACUAGGCAAAAUGGUACCGUAACUUCGGGAGAAGGUACGCCGCUUGGGGUGAUCGGACUUGCUCCGUGAGCUCCGGGCGGUCGAAGUGACCAGGUGGCUGCGACUGUUUAUUAAAAACACAGCACUCUGCAAACACGAAAGUGGACGUAUAGGGUGUGACGCCUGCCCGGUGCCGGAAGGUUAAUUGAUGGGGUCAGCCGCAAGGCGAAGCUCUUGAUCGAAGCCCCGGUAAACGGCGGCCGUAACAAUAACGGUCCUAAGGUAGCGAAAUUCCUUGUCGGGUAAGUUCCGACCUGCACGAAUGGCGUAACGAUGGCCACACUGUCUCCACCCGAGACUCAGUGAAAUUGAACUCGCUGUGAAGAUGCAGUGUACCCGCGCUAGACGGAAAGACCCCGUGAACCUUUACUACAGCUUUGCACUGGACUCUGAAUCUGUUUGUGUAGGAUAGGUGGGAGGCUAUGAAGCCGGAACGCUAGUUCUGGUGGAGCCAACCUUGAAAUACCACCCUGACAUAUUUGGGGUUCUAACCCAGGCCCGUUAUCCGGGUCGGGGACAGUGUAUGGUGGGUAGUUUGACUGGGGCGGUCUCCUCCCAAAGAGUAACGGAGGAGCACGAAGGUACCCUCAGCGUGGUCGGAAAUCACGCUUUUGAGUGCAAAGGCAUAAGGGUGCUUGACUGCGAGAGCGACGGCUCGAGCAGGUGCGAAAGCAGGUCUUAGUGAUCCGGUGGUUCUGAAUGGAAGGGCCAUCGCUCAACGGGUAAAAGGUACUCCCGGGAUAACAGGCUGAUACCGCCCAAGAGUUCAUAUCGACGGCGGUGUUUGGCACCUCGAUGUCGGCUCAUCACAUCCUGGGGCUGAAGCCGGUCCCAAGGGUAUGGCUGUUCGCCAUUUAAAGUGGUACGCGAGCUGGGUUUAGAACGUCGUGAGACAGUUCGGUCCCUAUCUGCCGUGGGCGUUGGAGAUUUGAGGAAAGCUGCUCCUAGUACGAGAGGACCGGAGUGGACGAACCUCUGGUGUUCGGGUUGUCACGCCAGUGGCAUUGCCCGGUAGCUACGUUCGGACGGGAUAACCGCUGAAAGCAUCUAAGCGGGAAGCCUCUUCCAAGAUGAGAUCUCCCCGGGGACUCGAUCCCCCUGAAGGGUUGUUCAAGACCAGGACGUUGAUAGGUGGGGUGUGUAAGCGCUGUGAGGCGUUGAGCUAACCCAUACUAAUUGCCCGUGCGGCUUGACC
rnacentral:rRNA from 1 species